rnacentral:rRNA from 1 species
UACGUAGGGUGCAAGCGUUAAUCGGAAUUACUGGGCGUAAAGCGUGCGCAGGCGGUGAUGUAAGACAGAUGUGAAAUCCCCGGGCUCAACCUGGGAACUGCAUUUGUGACUGCAUCGCUGGAGUGCGGCAGAGGGGGAUGGAAUUCCGCAUGUAGCAGUGAAAUGCGUAGAUAUGCGGAGGAACACCGAUGGCGAAGGCAAUCCCCUGGGCCUGCACUGACGCUCAUGCACGAAAGCGUGGGGAGCAAACAGG